CCCAGGUUGGCUGCCUACAAUCAGAGUCCACAUAUGUUCGGGGGAGGGACCCCAGAAGGCGGCUGACAGUAUUCCUUUAGCCAGAAAUCCCUUCAGGGAAGAGAAAGGUGCUCCCCUUUGCCUGCUUUUAUACUACAGACUGUUUCCAACUCCAGCUAGAAGUGACUAUUGCCGAUUAUGCUAAUCAGUGGCGACAAGCUCCCUUUGACUGCUCACUUCUCCAGUGAGGCUUCAAGCUUCUAGGCAUCAAGAUUAGUAAGGCUGUCUUCUGGGUGGGCCAGUUUGUUUCUCAGUGACACGAAAACAUUGCCUGGGGUGUGCACUGGUAUUUUCCAGAAAAUAUUUCAAGCAGAAUAUACUUAUUUUCCAGUUUUGAAAACAACUAGAUUGCCCAUCUCCAUUUCUCUCUAUCAUCUACUGUAUUAUUCUAUGGACAACUGCCACCCUAAUAAGGUCAAGAAGGGAAGCCAGAAGUCAAGGCCACAGAAGACACAGGAAACAUCAUUUCCAAAGUGGGAGACAAAGCUGUUAACAGGAAAUUAUUUGUAAAGUCAAGAGCCAAGCAAAACAGAAAAAGGACAAGAAAUCUAUCACCUGUGGGUAUGAAUGGUUCUAGGGAAGUCUGUUGACAAUUGGAGGGUCUCAAAGGCGCUUUAUGGUACUUAUUUUAUGACCCUGAGUCUGGAGUCUGAUGAAUUAAAGAGGAAAUUCUGCUCUGGGCAACAUUUAAGAGAUAGUAUCUCCAGGCAGUAACUUUCGUAUUAACUCUCAUAAGAUUGAUGCCAUUCUGUCAUCUAAAGUGUGGACAAAAGUAGCAUUAAAGCAAAAUGAAAGGAUAUACUAAUCUUUGCAUAGUUAAUUUAUAGCAAUGCGAUCUUUUAAUCUAUGUUUUUCUUUUUGGUCUCCUUGGAAAGCAUGGUCAUGCAGAGCAGUGGUUCUCCAAACUUUUCAGCACCAGGGACUGGUUUUGUGGAAGGCAACUUUUCCACAUUCUGGGUAUUCAUUAGGUGAAUUGACUACAAAAUGGACUGCACUGAAAACACAUCACAUGAUUUCAUCGAGGAGAUAGGAAACUUGAAUCCUUACUAAUGAGAAGGAAGUUAAGUCAUAUUAAUAAAACUAAUAAUAUAUCAAAGUGAUUUUCAAAAAUUGCACUUAAGUAUUAAAAUUUAUCC
rnacentral:lncRNA from 1 species